rnacentral:rRNA from 1 species
AACGAACGCUGGCGGCAUGCCUAACACAUGCAAGUCGAACGAAGGCUUCGGCCUUAGUGGCGCACGGGUGCGUAACGCGUGGGAAUCUGCCCUUGGGUUCGGAAUAACGUCGGGAAACUGACGCUAAUACCGGAUGAUGACGUAAGUCCAAAGAUUUAUCGCCCAAGGAUGAGCGCGCGUCGGAUUAGCUAGUUGGUGAGGUAAAAGCUCACCAAGGCGACGAUCCGUAGCUGGUCUGAGAGGAUGAUCAGCCACACUGGGACUGAGACACGGCCCAGACCCCUACGGGAGGCAGCAGUGGGGAAUAUUAGACAAUGGGCGAAAGCCUAAUCCAGCAAUGCCGCGUGAGUGAUGAAGGCCUUAGUGUUGUAAAGCUCUUUUACCCGGGAUGAUAAUGACCGUACCGAGAGAAUAAGCUCCGGCUAACUCCGUG